GGAGGGGUUGAGUGGUGGCAGAGUGAGGGGGAGACACAGUGAGUGGGGGUGACUGGUGACAGAGUGAGGGAGUGGGUGACUAGUGACCCCCUUACUCUGUCACUGUGUUACCCCCUCCCUCUGUCACUAGUCACCCCCUCCCUCACUCUGUCACUAGUCACCCCCUCCCUCACUCUGUCACUAGUCACCCCCUCCCUCACUCUGUCACUAAUCACCCCCUCUCUCCCUAGUCACCCCCUUCCUCACUCUGUCACUAGUCACCCCAUCC